rnacentral:rRNA from 1 species
GUCCACGCCUUAAACGAUGAAUACUAGACGUUGGGUAAACUCAGUGUCGCAGCUAACGCAGUAAGUAUUCCACCUGGGGAGUACGAUCGCAAGGUUGAAACUCAAAGGAAUUGACGGGGCCCGCACAAGCAGUGGAGCAUGUGGUUCAAUUCGAUGCAACGCGAAGAACCUUACCUGGGCUUGACAUGUAAGCUAAAGGCGAAUGAAAGUUCGCGUCCCGCAAGGGGAGCUUAUACAGAUGCUGCAUGGCUGUCGU